rnacentral:rRNA from 1 species
GACGAACGCUGGCGGCGUGCUUAACACAUGCAAGUCGAACGGAAAGGCUCCAGCUUGCUGGAGUACUCGAGUGGCGAACGGGUGAGUAACACGUGGGUAAUCUGCCCUGCACUCUGGGAUAAGCCUGGGAAACUGGGUCUAAUACUGGAUAUGACCUUUCUCCUUAUGGGGUUUGGUGGAAAGUUUUUCGGUGUAGGAUGAGCCCGCGGCCUAUCAGCUUGUUGGUGGGGUGAUGGCCUACCAAGGCGACGACGGGUAGCCGGCCUGAGAGGGUGAUCGGCCACAUUGGGACUGAGAUACGGCCCAGACUCCUACGGGAGGCAGCAGGGGGGAGUAUUGCACAAUGGGCGGAAGCCUGAUGCAGCGACGCCGCGUGAGGGAUGACGGCCUUCGGGUUGUAAACCUCUUUCAGCAGGGACGAAGCGUAAGUGACGGUACCUGCAGAAGAAGCACCGGCUAACUAUGUG